rnacentral:rRNA from 1 species
GACGAACGCUGGCGGCGUGCUUAACACAUGCAAGUCGAACGAGUGGCGAACGGGUGAGUAAUACGUGGGUAACCCGCUCUCUCUUUGGGAUAAGCCCUGGAAACGGGGUCUAAUACCCAACAAGGGGGAUGGGCUCGCGGCCUAUCAGCUUGUUGGUGGGGUGAUGGCUUACCAAGGCGGUGACGGGUCGCCGGCCUGAGCGGGUGACCGGGCACAUUGGUACUGAGAGACGGCCCAGGGUCGUACGGGGGGCGGCAGUGGGGGAUAUUGCACAAUGGGCGACAGCCAAAUGCGGCGACGCCGCGUGGGGUUUGAGGGCUUUCGGGUUGUAUACCUCUUUCGAUAGCGAACGGGUAGGUGGAGAGAAAGCGCCGGCUAACUACGUGCCAGCAGCCGCGGUAAUAC